rnacentral:rRNA from 1 species
CGGGAAUAUUGGGCAAUGGGCGAAAGCCUGACCCAGCGACGCCGCGUGAGGGAAGAAGGCCUUCGGGUCGUAAACCUCUGUCAUCGGGGACGAAGGAAGUGACGGUACCCGAGGAGGAAGCCCCUGCUAACUACGUGCCAGCAGCCGCGGUAAUACGUAGGGGGCGAGCGUUGUCCGGAGUUAUUGGGCGUAAAGGGCGUGUAGGCGGCCUGUUAAGUCAGGUGUGAAAUUUCAGGGCUUAACCCUGAAACUGCGUUUGAAACUGGCAGGCUUGAGGACAGGAGAGGGAAGUGGAAUUCCCGGUGUAGCGGUGGAAUGCGUAGAUAUCGGGAGGAACACCAGUGGCGAAGGCGGCUUCCUGGACUGUACCUGACGCUGAGGCGCGAAAGCUAGGGGAGCAAAC